CCCCUUAUAAAAAUAACUUUUAACAAUGGAUCUCUUGGCUCUCACAUCGAUGAAGAACACAGUGAAAUGUGAUAAGUAAUGUGAAUUGCAGAAUUCAGUGAAUCAUCAAAUCUUUGAACGCACCUUGCACCUUUUGGUAUUCCAAAAGGUACACCUGUUUGAGUGUCAUGAAACCCUCUCAUUCCAAUUCUUAUAGUUUUUUUUAUAUAAGGA
rnacentral:rRNA from 1 species